CCGUUUCUUACUCUUUUCCCCGAUUCCUCUCGUUCUCUCUCGCGGUCAAAUCAAAGACGACGGAUCUUCGGUGAUCGUCGACAUCGCCGGAGGAGCUCGUCGCUGGAGCUUGCCAGAGGUCAAACAAGGAGGUCGGAUCAUUCUGAUCUCCUCUUCUCAAGCCUUCCCCGAGCCUUCCUUCCACAUUUGCCAACUCUUCCGCCCCGACGCCGAUUGUGCACCUCCUCUACCGUGAUUGCGGCUUCGUCGAGUCGCCUGAAGAAGGGUGGUGGAGCUCGAAGGGUAUCGACCAUCUCCGGCUGAGUAGGAGUCUCGGUGGUUGUUUCUUGCGGGCAAGUGACGGUGAUCUAGCGGUUAGGGCACGACGGGGCUAGGGCUGAUCAAGCCCUUUCUCUUCUCCUCUUCGAUCUUCUCGCUGGAGGGUGGGCCAGAUCGUCGCUAGCUAAGGUGGAUCGUGCGACACCAGCUGUAGGUGAUCGAUGGAGAGGAAAGCUUCGGAUCAACCUAGUGAUGGAUCUCCCCUGAGCAGACCUUCGUCUUCUUCAAUUCUUGCGGCUGUUAAAGUCUCGGUGUAGAGGCGGAGGCCUGUUUGAGGGCUUCUUUGGUAGCGAUCGACAGAGGUCUUGUGGGACUGUGAAUGUUGAUCUCUUUGGCAUAUCCUGCUGCUGGGGUCCAAAUUGGAGAAGGGUCGGCUAACUAGGGUUUUGCCAACAACGGAAGGAAGCUAUUGCAGAAGCCGUGGUAUCUAAUCCCUGUCCAAAUGAUAUGGGACUUUGAUAUGGGAUGAUUAUCAAGACGUGGGAUUUAUUUUAGCACGAUCGACAGAUAAA